rnacentral:ncRNA from 1 species
UCUUGGAUUUAUGAAAGACGAACAACUGCGAAAGCAUUUGCCAAGGAUGUUUUCAUUAAUCAAGAACGAAAGUUGGGGGCUCGAAGACGAUCAGAUACCGUCCUAGUCUCAACCAUAAACGAUGCCGACCAGGGAUCGGCGGACACUGCUUAUAGGACUCCGCCGGCACCUUAUGAGAAAUCAAAGUCUUUGGGUUCCGGGGGGAGUAUGGUCGCAAGGCUGAAACUUAAAGGAAUUGACGGAAGGGCACCACCAGGCGUGGAGCCUGCGG